rnacentral:snRNA from 1 species
GCGCUCAGCACAUACACUAAAACUGGAACGAUACAGAGAAGGUUCACAUGGCCCCUGCGCAAGGACGGUAAGCAAAUUCAUGAAGCGCUCCAUAAAAAA